UGGCGUAGUGGGCAAAGCCUCGGCUUGCUAAGCCGAAGGUCCUGGGUUCGAUUCCCGG
rnacentral:tRNA from 1 species